CCAUAGAAGAUGGCGUUGAUGGGAUGGAGGUGUAAGCACCAAGCUUCGGCGAGGUGUUCAGCCUGCCAUUCCCAAUAGCCCAAUGCACUAAAUCA
rnacentral:rRNA from 1 species